GUCAACUACCCCUCCUUAACUGAAGCGAAUGCUUCAGUUUGAGGAAGGAGCUUGUUUUCAUAAAGCAAGUUCCUGGUUGACCAGACCACUGGAUAUGGGUUAUAUAUGUUAAUAAUAAUAGAAAAAAGUCCAGUAAACGAUACCGGAGAAUACAACAGUAGUCACCCUGGGAUGCCGCCUCAGUCCCUUGCUCUGAGAAUGCAGUCUAAACAGUUCUGGCGGAGUAGGAACAGUGGCUGUACUUUUAAACCUCUGGUACUCCGGUCGAGAGGAAGUCGGA
rfam:Methanohalobium evestigatum Z-7303, complete genome.